rnacentral:rRNA from 1 species
AAUGGGCGAAAGCCUGACGCAGCCAUGCCGCGUGUGUGAAGAAGGCCUUCGGGUUGUAAAGCACUUUCAAUUGGGAGGAAAGGUUCGUAGUUAAUAACUGCGAGCUGUGACGUUACCUUUAGAAGAAGCACCGGCUAACUCCGUGCCAGCAGCCGCGGUAAUACGGAGGGUGCAAGCGUUAAUCGGAAUUACUGGGCGUAAAGCGCGCGUAGGCGGAUUGUUAAGUCUCAUGUGAAAGCCCUGGGCUCAACCUGGGAACUAUAUGGGAUACUGGCAAUCUAGAAUACAGUAGAGGGUAGUGGAAUUUCAGGUGUAGCGGUGAAAUGCGUAGAGAUCUGAAGGAACAUCAGUGGCGAAGGCGACUACCUGGACUGAUAUUGACGCUGAGGUGCGAAAGCGUGGGGAGCAAACGGGAUU